ensembl:lncRNA
GAGUAGAGCAGUGUAGAGGAGAGUAGAGGAGUGUAGAGGAGAGUAGAGCACUGUAGAGGAGUGUAGAGGAGUGUAGCGGAGAGGAGUGUAGAGGAGAGUAGAGCAGUGUAGAGGAGAGUAGAGGAGAGGAGUGUAGAGGAGAGUAGAGGAGUGUAGAGGAGAGGAGUGUAGAGAGUAGAGAAGUGUAGAGGAGAGGAGUGUAGAGGAGAGUAGAGCAGUUUAGAGGAGAGUAGAGGAGUGUAGAGGAGAGGAGUGUAGAGGAGAGGAGUGUAGAGAGUAGAGAAGUGUAGAGGAGAGGAGUGUAGAGAAGAGUGUAAAGGAGUGUAGAGGAGAGGGAGUGUAGAGAGUAGAGGAGAGGAGUGUAGAGGAGAGGAGUGUAGAGGUGUGUAGAGGAGGGCGGAGUGUAGAGAGUAGAGGAGAGUAGAGGAGUGUAGAGUAGACGAGUGUAGAGGAGUGUAGAGGAGAGGAGUGUAGCUAUACUAGACUGGUUUUCCCUCCUCCUCUCUUAUGUAGCUUUACUAGACUUGUUCUCACUCCUCCUCUCUAAUGUAUCUAUACUAUACUGGUUCUCCCUUCUCCUCCUCACUAAUGUAUAUUUACUAGACUGGUUGUCCCUCCUCCUCCUCUCUUAUGUAGCUAUACUAGACUGCUUCUCCCUCCUCCUCUCUUAUGUAGCUAUACUAGACUGGUUCUCCCUCCUCCUCCUCUCUAAUGUAGAUUUACUAGAUUGGUUCUCACUCCUCCUCUCUAAUGUAUCUAUACUAUACUGGUUCUCCCUUCUCCUCCUCUCUAAUGUAUCUAUACUAGACUGGUUGUCCCUCCUCCUCUAUUAUGUAGCUAAACUAGACUGGUUCUCCCUCCUCCUCCUCUCUAAUGUAUCUAUAAUAGACUGGUUCUCCCUCCUCCUCCUCUCUAAUGUAGCUAUACUAGACUGGUUCUCCCUCCUCCUCUCUAAUGUAGCUAUACUAGACUGGUUCUCUCUCCUCCUCUCUAAUAUAACUUUACAUGACUGGUUCUCCGUCCUCCUCUCUAAUGUAUCUAAUCUAUACUGGUUUUCCCUUCUCCUAUUCUAUAUAAUGUAUCUAUACUAGACUGGUUUUCCCUCCUCCUCCUCUCUAAUGUAGCUAUAGUAGACUGGUUCUCCCUCCUCCUCCUCUCUAAUGUGUCUAUACUAGACUGGUUUUCCCUCCUCCUCUCUAAUGUAUCUAUACUAGACUGGUUUUCCCUCCUCCUCCUCUAUUAUGUAGCUGUACUAGACUGGUUCUCCCUCCUCCUCCUCUCUAAUGUAGCUGUACUAGACUGGUUCUCCCUACUCCUCCUCUCUAAUGUAGCUAUACUAGACUGG